rnacentral:rRNA from 1 species
UAACUGAAGAGUUUGAUCAUGGCUCAGAUUGAACGCUGGCGGCAGGCUUAACACAUGCAAGUCGAGCGGGGGAAGGUAGCUUGCUACCGGACCUAGCGGCGGACGGGUGAGUAAUGCUUAGGAAUCUGCCUAUUAGUGGGGGACAACAUCUCGAAAGGGAUGCUAAUACCGCAUACGUCCUACGGGAGAAAGCAGGGGAUCUUCGGACCUUGCGCUAAUAGAUGAGCCUAAGUCGGAUUAGCUAGUU